CGGGCCCGUGUGCCCAAAAAAAAAACAGUGGAGGCUGCAUAAUGCCGCAGCACACCCUACAGUGCGUCACGAAGCGCUUUGGUGAGCGCUCCUUCCGAGAAACUAUACAGUAAGCUCUGCACCGCCUCAUAGCCUCCCGGCAGCUGUUGUGAUAAGGCCAUGCUCAUGCUGAGCACAGCGACCAUUCUCUGAAUGGUGUCAUGGCUUGCGCACGCUGCGUCCCAGCGAGAUAGCACAAAUCUUACGAGGGCAAGGGGCACGGGCGCCGCCCCUGCCGGAGGCGGUGCAAGAACCAGGGCCGUGCCAAGGAGUUGGACCGUCCACGUGUCGUCAGGCAUUGUAUGUUGUAGUAGCGAGAGCCAGGUAUGUGCCGUCGUGGUAUCGUGCGCCGCAGCAGAGCUAGUCGUCGCCACCCAUUGGCAGAGAGAGGCACGGCUCUCCUCCCUGCUCAGGGCGUGAGCCAGCCAGGUGGCGGGCGCAGCACGGGAGUGUACAUACUUCGCCUCAAGGAGUUGGCAGCAGGUACGCAGGGUGUUUCCGGCGGUACCGGGUAUCGUUGCCAGCUGCUCAUACCGAAGCAGCGGAAGCACAACGGGCAUUGCAAGCGUGCACACCAGGGGACAGCAGGCGUCAGAGAGGAGCAGGAUUUGUAGGACAUCGAGGCAGGUGCAUACAUGAGCGUGAAGAUGUGAAGCAUAGUAGGCACGGACGUGGGUUUGGUGGGUGUAGCUAGCAAGCCAUCGCAGCGUUGUAUGUAGGGUAUGGCGCAGUGGCGCCUGGAGAAAGUAGG
rnacentral:lncRNA from 1 species